rnacentral:rRNA from 1 species
AGCAGCCGCGGUAAUUCCAGCUCCAAUAGCGUAUAUUAAAGUUGUUGCAGUUAAAAAGCUCGUAGUUGAAUUUCGGGGUUAGUAGGUUGGUCAUGCCUCUGGUAUGUACUGGUCUCACUGAUUCCUCCUUCCUGAUGAGCCGUAAUGCCAUUAAUUUGGUGUUGCGGGGAAUUUGGACUGUUACUUUGAAAAAAUUAGAGUGUUUAAAGCAAGCUAACGCUUGAAUGCAUUAGCAUGGAAUAAUGAAAUAGGACGUUCGAUCCUAUUUUGUUGGUUUCUAGGAUUGACGUAAUGAUUAAUAGGGAUAGUUGGGGGCAUUAGUAUUCAAUUGUCAGAGGUGAAAUUCUUGGAUAUAUUGAAGACUAACUACUGCGAAAGCAUUUGCCAAGGAUGUUUUCAUUAAUCAAGAACGAAAGUUAGGGGAUCGAAGACGAUCAGAUACCGUCGUAGUCUUAACCAUAAACUAUGCCGACUAGGGAUCGGAUGAUGUUAAUUUUUUAAUGACUCAUUCGGCGCCUUACG